rnacentral:lncRNA from 1 species
UAUAUAGAUAUAGAAAGAUGUGGUGUGAGUGCCAAUGAGACAACUCUCCAUCCAAAUAACCAUUAUAGUUCAAUGUAAUGUAAACCUUAAUAGGUCAAUGUAUGGCCUUCAACAUGGAGCCUUGGCUCACACCGAGCAACAAGCUAUAAAGAGCCCAAAAAAUUACUAGUGUAAAACCAUACAAACGGGAAAACCAAGGGUCUAAUCUAUAUAAAAUAAAAAAAACGAGAAACACAUAUAAAUUACAUGAACAAACGACAACUACUGUACAUCAGAUUCCUGACUUAGGACAGGUGGAAACAUUUGCAGCGGG